AUACGGAGGGGGCUAGCGUUGUUCGGAAUUACUGGGCGUAAAGGGCGUGUAGGCGGAUCGAUCAGUCAGGCGUGAAAGCCCCGGGCUCAACCCGGGAAAUGCGCUUGAAACUGUCGAUCUUGAGUUCGGGAGAGGGUAGUGGAAUUCCCAGUGUAGAGGUGAAAUUCGUAGAUAUUGGGAAGAACACCAGUGGCGAAGGCGGCUACCUGGACCGAUACUGACGCUGAUGCGCGAAAGCGUGGGGAGCAAACAGGAUUAGAAACCCCAGUAGUCC
rnacentral:rRNA from 1 species